rnacentral:rRNA from 1 species
UACGUAGGGGGCGAGCGUUGUCCGGAUUCAUUGGGCGUAAAGAGCUCGUAGGCGGCUUGGCAAGUCGGUCGUGAAAUACCGAGGCUCAACCUCGGAACGCCGAUCGAAACUGCCAUGGCUAGGGUCCGGUAGAGGAGAGUGGAAUUCCCGGUGUAGCGGUGAAAUGCGCAGAUAUCGGGAGGAACACCAGUAGCGAAGGCGGCUCUCUGGGCCGGUACCGACGCUGAGGAGCGAAAGCGUGGGGAGCAAACAGG